UUUAAAUGGCCGCAGUAUACUAACUGUGCAAAGGUAGCAUAAUCAUUAGUCUUUUAAUUGAAGGCUGGUAUGAAUGGUUGGACGAGAUAUUAACUGUUUCAUAAGAAUUUAUAUUAGAAUUUUAUUUUUUAGUCAAAAAGCUAAAAUUUAUUUAAAAGACGAGAAGACCCUAUAAAUCUUUAUAUUUAUUUUAUUGUAGUUUUAUAGAUUAUUUUUAUUUCAAUAAUUGUUGAUAUUUUAUUGGGGUGAUAUUAAAAUUUAAUAAACUUUUAAUUUUUAUAAUCAUUAAUUUAUGAAUAAUUGAUCCGUUAUUAACGAUCAAAAAAACAAGUUACUUUAGGGAUAACAGCGUAAUUUUUUUGGAGAGUUCAUAUCGAUAAAAAAGAUUGCGACCUCGAUGUUGGAUUAAGAUAUAAUUUUAGGUGGAGCUGCUUAAA
rnacentral:rRNA from 1 species